GUUUUCUCAUGUUCGUAAAUGUUGAUCGUCUAGUGCAUGGCAGCGUUUGUAGGGAUAAGCGACUUGCUGCUAAAGUUCCGUUUUCUUGCCUCAUUAGCAAAGAGGAGCAGGGUUCCUGCAAUGUAAGUGGCAAGGUCUCCGGGAGGGGCACACUGGACAUGCAGUCGCAAAUUGAAUGUUCUGAAACACCACUGCUUGAUGAGACUUCCUCCAACGACAGAAGAAAAUGCUAGGACUACAUUAUUGCAGUGGCGUAGAAAGCAAUUAAAAAGUGGUGCGGCC